AACGAACGCUGGCGGCAGGCCUAACACAUGCAAGUCGAGCGAGAUCUUCGGGUCUAGCGGCGGACGGGUGAGUAACGCGUGGGAAUAUGCCCUUCUCUGCGGAAUAGCCUCGGGAAACUGAGCGUAAUACCGCAUACGCCCUUUGGGGAAAGAUUUAUCGGAGAAGGAUUAGCCCGCGUUGGAUUAGGUAGUUGGUGGGGUAACGGCCUACCAAGCCGACGAUCCAUAGCUGGUUUGAGAGGAUGAUCAGCCACACUGGGACUGAGACACGGCCCAGACUCCUACGGGAGGCAGCAGUGGGGAAUCUUAGACAAUGGGGGCAACCCUGAUCUAGCCAUGCCGCGUGAGUGAUGAAGGCCUUAGGGUUGUAAAGCUCUUUCAGCUGGGAAGAUAAUGACGGUACCAGCAGAAGAAGCCCCGGCUAACUCCGUG
rnacentral:rRNA from 1 species